UACAGAGGUGGCAAGCGUUGUUCGGAAUUACUGGGCGUAAAGGGCGCGUAGGCGGUCUUGUAAGUCUUGUGUGAAAUCCCUCGGCUCAACUGAGGAACUGCACGGGAUACUGCGAGACUUGAGUGCAGAAGAGGAGAGUGGAAUUCCACGUGUAGCGGUGAAAUGCGUAGAUAUGUGGAGGAACACCAGUGGCGAAGGCGACUCUCUGGGCUGUAACUGACGCUGAGGCGCGAAAGCGUGGGGAGCAAACAGG
rnacentral:rRNA from 1 species